ACAGUCUAACUCAGUCUGGAGGACCCUCUUUAAAUGAGUCAUCAGAGCAUAAAGUCACAGUCAUAAAAACUAAAUCAGACUCCUAGAGUCUCUCCUCCUUCUGUUCUUAGUGUCAGAAAACUAUUUGUUAUAUAAAAAGUUGUUGGUUAUAUCUUUAUAUUUUAAAUGAUCUUCAUGUUACUACAGGUUUGAGUUUAAAUUAAGUUGACAUGUUACAUCAUGUUUUGUCUUCUUCUAGUUGUGUAAUUACUUGUAUCAAUAUAUUAUGUCAUAUGUUACUUGUAAUGUUCUCUCUAUUGUUACUUGUCUAGGCACUACUGAUGUAAAUUAGCAUUAAUGCUAACUCCAGCAUGUUUACAUCUUGAUGUUCAUUAAGGAGCUCUGUCCAUGUUCAGUUACUAUGAAUUUAAAUGACGUUAUUACAGCAGAAAUGACUAAUGUCAGUGUAAAUAAUGCUUUUUUUGAGUGAAGGGUUUUGCAGCUUUUAAAUAAUCAAGGAAUGAAACUUGCAUCUGAGAUAUGAUUUGGUGUUUUACUACAACAGAAAAAGGAAAUGAAGUGAAUCAAAUUUGGUAAAUUACAGCAAAUAAAGAAAGCACACAGAACAAUAUGGA